AUGUACUAAAACACAGAUAUACUGAAACUGGAGUGAUGCAGAGAAGAUCAGCAUUGUCCCUGGCACAAGGAUGUGGUGCACGUUCAUGAAGUGGUCCAUUUUAAA